UCCCUGGUGGCUUAGAUGGUAAAGAAUCCACCUGCAAUGUGGGUGACCUGGGUUCGAUCCCUGGGUUGGGAA
rnacentral:tRNA from 1 species